UACGUAGGGCGCAAGCGUUGUCCGGAAUUAUUGGGCGUAAAGAGCUCGUAGGCGGCUUGUCACGUCGGAUGUGAAAGCCCGGGGCUUAACUCCGGGUCUGCAUUCGAUACGGGCUGGCUAGAGUGUGGUAGGGGAGAUCGGAAUCCCUGGUGUAGCGGUGAAAUGCGCAGAUAUCAGGAGGAACACCGGUGGCGAAGGCGGAUCUCUGGGCCAUUACUGACGCUGAGGAGCGAAAGCGUGGGGAGCGAACAGG
rnacentral:rRNA from 1 species